rnacentral:rRNA from 1 species
UUCGGCGGCCAUAGCGAGAGGGAAACGCCCGGUCCCAUUCCGAACCCGGAAGCUAAGACUCUCAGCGCCGAUGGUACUGCAAGGGGGACCUUGUGGGAGAGUAGGACACCGCCGGACUCCCUUU